CUUGGUUCUUUAUUUAUUUUUGUCCUGAAGCACUAUAUAGAAUAGAAACAGGACUACAUGCCAAUUUAUUAGCACAUUAUUUAAGUUUAAUUUAAGUCAUAAAAUACAGAAAUUUCUUACGAGAAAUUUCGGUGAUAGAAUUAAAAAUUCUUAAUUGAUAAAUUGACUAUAUAAU
rnacentral:sRNA from 12 species